UUUGGUGAUGAACCUUCGGCUUCCGUAAGCCAUCUAGUUAGUUAUACACAUCUGCUGUGGUGGGGAUUUUAGUUUGCAUUUGUAAUAAAAAUAUUAUGGUAAUGGUGUUGGUGGUGAUGAUUAUGAGGAGGAGGAAUUAUUCCUGUCCUCUAUAACCCUAAAAUAUGUGUUGUAAUGGGUUUGCAUUGUAUUGCUUAUAAAAGAAAUAUUACUUUUUAUUAAUAAGGUUUUGUUUCUUAUUGCUUAAGGUUAAUGAAGAAGAAGAAGAGGAAGGAUAGUGUCAUGACAUGUCAUUCUGACGGGUAUGUAAAUGACAGUGAAAAAGCCUCAACUUCUGAUAUAAUUCAUGCAAGAGAAGGGACCAAGAAUAAACAGAGGUCAGGACAAUUUGAUGUAGAAAAUAUUGUGGGAUACAAUUUAGUGACUAAGGAAACAGUAGUGCCAUCUAAGUACACAUGGUUGAUUGUGGUGCAUCAUAAGACAGCAGCAGUAAAACCCUCUCAGUGUGCACUUCCAAUGUGCUGUCUGCUUGUCAGUUUGAUUGGAAGGAUUCAUGAGGUGGCAGAUGGUUGUAAUAAUUCUUCUCAGCGCCAAUAUUUAAUGCUCAGUGGAAAGCUUCUCCAGUUUGUUCCACUUAUGAGUAAGGACAGUCUCUACAUGUUGAGUCUUCCAGACAACCCAGCAUACCAUCAGUUUCCUCUACCUUGCAGGCUGAAGCUAAAGUCAUGUGCAUUACCUGAUCUGCAGGGCGUGUGCUUACCAGAAGAGAGCACGUUCUUAUCAGUAAACAUGCAGAAGCCAGGAUUUCUUAACCUUAAGGCUGAUUCUUACAAUGUAAGUGACAAGAUCUUGCAUGAGGAGGUUGGGCAGAAGGAACUGAUAAAUGUUGAAGGAAUUAUCAGUUAUCGUCUGCAUACAAAUGUGAAAUAUGAUAGUGAGAAGAAAUAUAUUCCAGGUUAUGGUGUUCCAGGUAUGAAGAAUAUAGUUUUGAAACUUGACAGCACGCUUGCCUGUGGUGAAGAGAUAUCUCUAUACCUAAGUAAAUGGAAUUUCCGUGCCUAUCCACUUGGUCUUGUCCCAGGAGCUCAAAUUCGUGCCAUGUUUGUAGCAAAACAUACAUCUUACAACAGUUUCCAUACCUACUUACAGGCAACAGAAUUAACCGCAAUAGAAGUAUUGUCUGUGCCUCAGCAAAUGGGAUUAGAAAUUUUUCAUGAGACCUGUAGCACUACAUCACAUGACUGGGGUGAGAGUUGCAUAUUGACUCACCAGGCUGAACAUGCAGCUGCAGGCAGCACUUUGUGGGGUUGUGUCAGCAUGCUGAAGAUACUCAAGCUGACAGUAGUUACAUCAUGUACUCACUGCAGUAGUGUAUUCAAAAGUGGCUGCUGUGUUGGUUGCAGUACCUACCCACUAUCAUCCAAACUCAGUGUUAGUGCAACUUCCUGCAUGGAAGAUAUAUUUGGAAAAAUUCUAAUCUUCAUGAAAGAUGAACAAGUGCAUCAGUAUCUAGGACUGUCAAAACAAUACUGGGAUGUACUCACUAAAUUAGUCAGUCGGGAUGGUUCUAAAAUUGAAUUGCCUCAAAAUCAAUGGAACUCUCAUGACCCAAUUGGUAAACGAGUGCUGCAAGCAUUAGUGAAGGCUGCAGAUAAACAGCAGCCACGCUUUCACAUUUUGUGUCGUAAAAUGAAAGUGAAUAAAGAAGAUGCAAGAUACGAAGAAUUACCAAAGUUGUUUUGCUUGGCACUUCGAAGACCAAAGCCAGAUCAAUUAUAUUCUAUGCACAAAACAAGGAUGUCAUAAUCCUAAAGAACCAACAGUGAACACGUGGUGAAUGAAGGCCUGCUUAAUGUAUCGAAAAAGGUGAGGUAAGUAACCACAAUGGAUAACCCAGAAACCGAGAUUUGGAGCUGGAUCCCUGUGCCUUUAUUCACAGAUGUUCUGGAAGAUUCAACCCAUGUGCUUGGAGAUGCCGUUAUCAGACAGGAAAUUUUGGUGGUUGAGGCAGCAGAACUGGAAGCAUUGAUUCAAGUGACAGAAGGAGAUCAUAUCUUGGCAGCCCCCUUGCACCAUCACAGGUCAGCUGGAAGAGUGAUUUAGAUACCGCAGCGUUGUAGUUUAAAAGUAACAAUUAUUCAUGGCAGCAAAUACAAUAAAGAGUAUAUUUUAAAGACAUUAAUGGCCAGUGUUGCACCAACAGUAUUCAUUCCGAUCAGUUAACAAGUUUGAGGAACAAAUUCUUCAUUCUUUGUUGAUGGUUAUAACAUUGCAGAAAAGUUGGUCAUCAUUAACAAUACAGUUACCACAAUUAAGGGAUUUACGCUGUUGGUAAAAGUGAAGUCAAGAUUACUGCAUGUCGUGAUAGAUUCUACUACAAAGAGAAAAUAAAGGCAUUGUUGGCUAAGCGUUACAAUGUUAAUUUAAAUUGAUUUGACUUGCUUCCACACAGAUCCAGAUGUCAUUGACAGUUAUGUUGAAGCGUUGUUUACACCUAAUGUGGUGUUGGCAGUGUUGAAUAUCAUUGCUGAGAAUGCUCCCAAUCUGACAAAACUUAAUAUGUCUGACAACAAACUAUACUCAGUUGAUGACCUUAGUCUAUUUUCUAUUAAACUUCCUAACCUCAUAGCCCUUCAAAUUGGAAGAUACAGGAUACAGGCCAUGCACCUGUUAGAUUGUUUAAAAGCCUUUUGUCUAGAACUUGUACUAGAUGGAAAUCCUCUGUGUAGUAAACAUCAAGAUAGUAAUAUAUAUGAAAAUGAAGUGACAAAGAGGUUCCCAAAAUUGUUGAAGCUGGACAUAGUUGACCUCCAUUGAUCUCUCAUGAUGUUAAUGAAGACUUACACACAACAAUGCUAACAAUUAAGAAAAACUACUUGUGCUCAGAAGAAGGCUUAAGUUUCGUCCAUCGCUUCCUAGGAGAAUACUACCAACUCUGUGACAGUAACAUGCAGUGUUGGUAAGUAAACUGUGAAACCUAAAUGUCAGGCUAGUGCUAGACAUCCAUUAUAAAUGCCUUUGGUAAGCACAGGAUGUAUCAAGCAUCAUCAUUGUUAUUAUAUGGGCUUAAAUUUUAUAUAAAUAAAAAAAUGAUUUGUGAAAA